GAUGAAGAACGUAGCGAAAUGCGAUAAGUAAUGUGAAUUGCAGAAUUCAGUGAAUCAUCGAAUCUUUGAACGCACAUUGCGCCCGCCAGUAUUCUGGCGGGCAUGCCUGUCUGAGCGUCAUUUCAACCCUCAUGCCCCUAGGGCGUGGUGUUGGGGAUCGGCCAAAGCCCGCGAGGGACGGCCGGCCCCUAAAUCUAGUGGCGGACCCGUCGUGGCCUCCUCUGCGAAGUAGUGAUAUUCCGCAUCGGUGAGCGAUGAGCCCCUGCCGUUAAACCCCCAACUUUCCAAGGUUGACCUCAGAUCAGGUAGGAAUACCCGCUGAACUUAAGCAUAUCAAUAAGCGGAGGA
rnacentral:misc_RNA from 1 species